rnacentral:rRNA from 1 species
UACGUAGGGUGCAAGCGUUAAUCGGAAUUACUGGGCGUAAAGCGUGCGCAGGCGGUCUUGCAAGACAGAUGUGAAAGCCCCGGGCUCAACCUGGGAAUGGCGAUGGAAACUGGCGGGCUGGAGUAUGGCAGAGGGGGGUGGAAUUCCGCGUGUAGCAGUGAAAUGCGUAGAGAUGCGGAGGAACACCGAUGGCGAAGGCAGCCCCCUGGGCCAAUACUGACGCUCAGGCACGAAAGCGUGGGGAGCAAACAGG